GACGAACGCUGGCGGCGUGCCUAAUACAUGCAAGUCGAACGCACUCUCGUUUAGAUUGAAGGAGCUUGCUCCUGAUUGAUAAACAUUUGAGUGAGUGGCGGACGGGUGAGUAACACGUGGGUAACCUGCCCUAAAGUGGGGGAUAACAUUUGGAAACAGAUGCUAAUACCGCAUAAAACCUAACACCGCAUGGUGUAGGGUUGAAAGAUGGUUUCGGCUAUCACUUUAGGAUGGACCCGCGGUGCAUUAGUUAGUUGGUGAGGUAAAGGCUCACCAAGACCGUGAUGCAUAGCCACCUGAGAGGGUAAUCGGGCCACACUGGGACUGAGACACGGCCCAGACUCCUACGGAGGCAGCAGUAGGGAAUCUUCCACAAUGGACGAAAGUCUGAUGGAGCAACGCCGCGUGAGUGAAGAA
rnacentral:rRNA from 1 species